CAUUAUUGAAUAAACUUGCUUGGGUUGUUGCUGGUCCUUAGGGAUAUGUGCACACCUGACAUUAAAAUUAUAACCACUUGUGCACUUUUGUAGACCUUAGAUAUCUCUCGAGAAGAACUCGGUUCAAAGAUUGCAAUAAAAUCAAGCUUUCUUUACAUUUCUGGUCUAUGGUUUUUAUACAUACUCCUAACAAAAAUAUGGAAUGUUUGCCUUUAAAAUAAAUACAACUUUCAACAAUGGAUCUCUUGGCUCUUGCAUCGAUGAAGAACGCAGCGAAAUGCGAUAAGUAAUGUGAAUUGCAGAAUUCAGUGAAUCAUCGAAUCUUUGAACGCAUCUUGCGCUCUUUGGUACUCCGAAGAGCAUGCCUGUUUGAGUGUCAUGAAAUUAUCAACCUUUCUAGUAAAUGCUAGUCUGGCUUGGAUUUAUGGGAGUUGCAGGCUUCUUUAAAAGUCAGCUCUUCUUAAAUAUAUUAGCAGAACUCUUGCUAACAAUCCUUUGGUGUUGAUAAUUAUCUAUACCGAUUGGAGUUGGCUUUGUUUAGCUUUCUAAUAGUCUGUUCAGACAAUUUUUUGACAAUUUGACCU
rnacentral:rRNA from 1 species